rnacentral:tRNA from 1 species
UAGCUUAGUGGUUAGGGCUUAGGAUCGCCAAUCCGGAGACCGCGGGUUCGAUUCCCGU